GACAGAGGCCCCAAGCGUUAGGCGGAAUCACUGGGCUUAAAGCGUGUGUAGGCGGUUCGUUAAGUGUCUUGUGAAAUCCCACGGCUCACCCGUGGAACUGCUGGGCAUACUGGCGAUCUUGGGCCAACUAGGGGCAGUCGGAACAAGCGGUGGAGCGGUGAAAUGCGUAGAUAUCGCUUGGAACGCCGAAGGUGAAAACAGACUGCUGGGGUUGCGCCGACGCUGAGACACGAAAGCCAGGGGAGCAAACGGG
rnacentral:rRNA from 1 species